UACCAAACCUUUUUGUCAGGGUGCUUCUCUAUCCGUUUUAGGAUAAACUUAUCUACAGAAGUGUCUGUUACUGUUUUGGAAGAGUAAUACUGUUCGCUUAUCCAUAUUUCCCCGUUCUGGGGAAGCCUCAUGGGUAAAUUAGAAGGACAACCUUUGUUUUAAAGGUAUACCUUCGCUUUUUAGAACAGCGAGGAUCUUAUGAGUUGAGCUUUCGUUACUUGAGACUUUAUCUCGGGCUCCAUACAAUAUGUUCGUAGUAAAGAUCCUCACAAUU
rnacentral:snoRNA from 2 species